GUACACACCGCCCGUCGCUGCCUAGAACUGAGCCAUUUCGAGAAUAUUCGGGAUCGUUGGUUGCGUGUUCUUCGGGACAUGCCUCCGGCCAGAGAACGAACGUAAUCGCAAUGGCUUGAACCGGGCAAAAGUCGUAACAAGGUAGCUGUAGGUGAACCUGCUGCUGGAUCAUUACCUUGUCGAUACGACAW
rnacentral:rRNA from 1 species